rnacentral:tRNA from 1 species
AUCUCUUGAGUAUGCUUAGUAUAAUUGCCUUCCAAGCAAAAGGAUUAAUAAAUUUUAAAUGAGAUA